rnacentral:tRNA from 1 species
GCCCGGCUGGGCAAACUGGCAAAGCCGCCGCACUCAGAAUGCGGAGAUUCUCGGGGUUCGACUCCCCGGCCGGGUA